AACGAACGCUGGCGGCAGGCUUAACACAUGCAAGUCGAGCGCCCCGCAAGGGGAUCGGCAGACGGGUGAGUAACGCGUGGGAACGUACCUUUUGGUUCGGAACAACUCCGGGAAACUGGAGCUCAUACCGGAUAAGCCCUAACGGGGAAAGAUUUAUCGCCGAAGGAUCGGCCCGCGUCUGAUUAGCUAGUUGGUGAGGUAACGGCUCACCAAGGCGACGAUCAGUAGCUGGUCUGAGAGGAUGAUCAGCCACACUGGGACUGAGACACGGCCCAGACUCCUACGGGAGGCAGCAGUGGGGAAUAUUGGACAAUGGGCGCAAGCCUGAUCCAGCCAUGCCGCGUGAGUGAUGAAGGCCUUAGGGUUGUAAAGCUCUUUUGUCCGGGAAGAUAAUGACUGUACCGGAAGAAUAAGCCCCGGCUAACUUCGUG
rnacentral:rRNA from 1 species